rnacentral:rRNA from 1 species
UCGUUAACGAACGAGACCUCGACCUGCUAAAUAGUUUGGCGUAUCCUCCGGGAUACGUACAAGCUUCUUAGAGGGACUAUCGGUGUGUAGCCGAUGGAAGUUCGAGGCAAUAACAGGUCUGUGAUGCCCUUAGAUGUUCUGGGCCGCACGCGCGCUACACUGAUUCGUUCAUCGAGCUUACAACCUUGACCGACAGGUCUGGGUAAUCUUUUUAAAACGAAUCGUGAUGGGGAUAGAGCAUUGCAAUUAUUGUUCUUAAACGAGGAAUUCCUAGUAAACGCGAUUCAUCAGAUCGCAUUGAUUACGUCCCUGCCCUUUGUACACACCGCCCGUCGCUAGUACCGAUUGAAUGGAUU